CCGCGCAGCCGCAGCCUCCGCCGCAGCCGCAGCCUCCGCAGGUACCCGAGCGGCCGCCGCCGCCGCCGCCGCCGCCGCCGCCUCCUCAGCCAAAGCCACAAAAUGCCCAAGACCCUCUUACUCAGCGCACCUCCCGGUACAUUCUCCAGGAUUGCCAAAGGCCAGGCCCCCACAAGGACCGAUUCCAAGGAGGGGUGAUGAACCCUCAAGGUCCAGGUUUCAGGAAAUCUAGCCCAGAUACACACACCAAGUACCCACGACUCACGGUGAGACGGCCUCAGAGUGUGAAAGGCAGCUAGAGUCUGGCUGCGUGUCUGAGCGUGCUUGCGUUCAACGAAUUACAUCCAGCAGUGGUGAUUCAGAGACAG